rnacentral:rRNA from 1 species
AUUGAACGCUGGCGGCAGGCCUAACACAUGCAAGUCGGACGAGCGGCGGACGGGUGAGUAAUGUAUGGGAAUCUGCCUGAUGGAGGGGGAUAACUACUGGAAACGGUAGCUAAUACCGCAUACCAUCAGAUGAACCCAUAUGGGAUUAGCUGGUAGGUAGGGUAACGGCUCACCUAGGCGACGAUCCCUAGCUGGUCUGAGAGGAUGAACAGCCACACUGGAACUGAGACACGGCCCAGACUCCUACGGGAGGCAGCAGUGGGGAAGAUUGCACAAUGGGCGCAAGCCUGAUGCAGCCAUGCCGCGUGUAUGAAGAAGGCCUUCGGGUUGUAAAGUACUUUCAGUGGGGAGGCGUUACCGGCAGAAGAAGCACCGGCUAACUCCGUGCCAGCAGCCGCGGUAAUAC